GGGUUAGUAGCUCAGUGGAUCAGAGCCCAUGGUCCCGGACCAUGAAGCCAAGGGUUCGAAUCCCUUCUAGCCUA
rnacentral:tRNA from 3 species